AGGAGAGCCAUGUUUGUCAAAGAGCUUCAAAGAAGACGGAGAAAGCCACAGUCUUGUGCCCUGCGUUUAUCAAAGCCAUGUCUCGACGGCCGCAGGUUGAGGCUGUUCAACAUGAUAAUGGCGACGAACGGGAGUCCAUAAUGUUUUCGGUCGCAACACAAACCCUGUUGUUCGAGCUGCAGGCAAACUCGGAGCCAACAACCGGAGCACACACCUAAGAAGGAUGUUUGUCCCCUCGUAGUCACGCCUGUUCCAAAUUAUGUCACAGCAAUCCUAAUUCAAAUUCCAAGCAACUGAGAAGUAGCAGACCAAUAAUGGUCUGACCCCGACUUAGCCACCGUCCUCUCAUGGGUAGAAAUGGGUCACAAGCCCCCCCUGUGGACACUCCGGAACACGUCGCCCUACAUCAGGAAAUUGUGGUCACAAUUCAGUCAUUUAGCCUUACAUGACAAUGUCUUAUGUAGAUUGUAGCGCACUCCUCAUGUUGGAAAAGGUCCUCCAAAUAGUUGUUUCAACAACCUUGGUCCCGGAAAUUCUGACUCGUGUUCACGGUGAUCCUUCGGCUGGCUACUAUGGUCAUGCUAAAAUGCUGACUAGGACUAGACAACUCUUUUAUUGGCCCUACAUGGCUACGGACAUUUCUAAACAUUGUGCUCAAUGCGCAGCCUAUCAGUCACGGCAUUCGCUUGUACCCCGACCACAGGCCCCGCUUAUGCCUAUAUCUCCAGAUCAUCCAUUUGAAAUUGUCGCCGUGGAUAUAACUGAUCUACCUCCGUCGACUAACCCUGAACACACUAUCAGGCCUCCUCCCACCCCAUAUUACGCCGGUGACCCCCAGGCCUUCCACUGGGCCACAGUUGCCAUGUAUGCCUUGAGCAAACUGACCUUUGGUGCAAUAGGGCCCUUUACAAGAUGUUUCAAUGGACAAUGCUAAAGACAUUGGCCCUGCACCAUCCUUGGUACAACCGCCCCAGACACCAACUUCAGCGGUAGUGGGAAUACCCCCUGGGGCCUCACCACCCCGUGUCACACAGCCAUCCACACCACAUGUACGCCCAAGGUUACGUCGACUGCCGGUUUAUUUAAAAGAUUUCCAAGUGUACUAAGUGCUUUACUUUCAAUGUGCUGAUGUGACUUGUUUGUCAUUAUACAGUACCCAUGGAGUAAUGGGUAUGUGUAUAAUAUAUACCACUGCAAGUUGUUUACCAGUAUAAUGGGCUCAUGGUUAUACAGCAG
ensembl:lncRNA